rnacentral:rRNA from 1 species
UACAGCCUUGCUGAAUUAUUCACCCUUGUCUUUUGCGUACUUCUUGUUUCCUUGGUGGGUUCGCCCACCACUAGGACAAACAUAAACCUUUUGUAAUUGCAAUCAGCGUCAGUAACAAAUUAAUAAUUACAACUUUCAACAACGGAUCUCUUGGUUCUGGCAUCGAUGAAGAACGCAGCGAAAUGCGAUAAGUAGUGUGAAUUGCAGAAUUCAGUGAAUCAUCGAAUCUUUGAACGCACAUUGCGCCCUUUGGUAUUCCAAAGGGCAUGCCUGUUCGAGCGUCAUUUGUACCCUCAAGCUUUGCUUGGUGUUGGGCGUCUUGUCUCUAGCUUUGCUGGAGACUCGCCUUAAAGUAAUUGGCAGCCGGCCUACUGGUUUCGGAGCGCAGCACAAGUCGCACUCUCUAUCAGCAAAGGUCUAGCAUCCAUUAAGCCUUUUUUUCAACUUUUGACCUCGGAUCAGGUAGGGAUACCCGCUGAACUUAA